GUAGGGAAUAUUGCGCAAUGGACGAAAGUCAGACGCAGCGACGCCGCGUGAGUGAUGAAGGCCUUAGGGUCGUAAAGCUCUGUUGAAUGGGAAGAAAAAAAUGACGGUACCAUUCGAGGAAGGACCGGCUAACUUCGUGCCAGCAGCCGCGGUAAUACGAGGGGUCCUAGCGUUGUUCGGAAUCAUUGGGCGUAAAGGGUGUGUAGGUGGCCAUGUAAGUCAGGUGUGAAAGCCCCGGGCUCAACCCGGGAAGUGCACUUGAUACUGCGUGGCUUGAGUACCGAAGAGGGUAGUGGAAUUCCAGGUGUAGUGGUGAAAUACGUAGAUAUCUGGAGGAACACCGGUGGCGAAGGCGGCUACCUGGUCGAGUACUGACACUGAGACACGAAAGCAUGGGGAUCAAACAGGAUUAGAAACCCUGGUAGUCC
rnacentral:rRNA from 1 species